rnacentral:rRNA from 1 species
AGGGAAUCUUCCACAAUGGACGAAAGUCUGAUGGAGCAACGCCGCGUGAGUGAUGAAGGUUUUCGGAUCGUAAAACUCUGUUGUAAGGGAAGAACCAGUACGUCAGGCAAUGGACGUACCUUGACGGUACCUUAUUAGAAAGCCACGGCUAACUACGUGCCAGCAGCCGCGGUAACACGUAGGGGGCGAGCGUUGUUCGGAAUCAUUGGGCGUAAAGGGCGCGCAGGCGGCGAGGCAAGUCCGGUGUGAAAGUGCUCGGCUCAACCGAGUGAUGCGCUGGAAACUGCCCUGCUUGAGUACAGGAGGGGACGUCGGAAUUCCAGGUGUAGGGGUGAAAUCUGUAGAUAUCUGGAAGAACACCGGUGGCGAAGGCGGACGUCUGGCCAUGUACUGACGCUGAGGCGCGAAGGUGCGGGGAGCGAACA